CGCCUGGGGAGUACGGCCGCAAGGUUAAAACUCAAAUGAAUUGACGGGGGCCCGCACAAGCGGUGGAGCAUGUGGUUUAAUUCGACGCAACGCGAAGAACCUUACCUGGCCUUGACAUCCAGAGAACUUUCCAGAGAUGGAUUGGUGCCUUCGGGAACUCUGAGACAGGUGCUGCAUGGCCGUCGUCAGCUCGUGUCGUGAGAUGUUGGGUUAAGUCCCGUAACGAGCGCAACCCCUAUCCCUGGUUGCUAGCAGGUAAUGCUGAGAACUCCAGGGAGACUGCCGGUGACAAACCGGAGGAAGGUGGGGAUGACGUCAGGUCACCAUGGCCCUUACGGCCAGGGCUACACACGUGCUACAAUGGCGCGUACAGAGGGCUGCCAACUCGCGAGAGUGUGCCAAUCCCUUAAAACGCGUCGUAGUCCGGAUCGGAGUCUGCAACUCGACUCCGUGAAGUCGGAAUCGCUAGUAAUCGCGAAUCAGAAUGUCGCGGUGAAUACGUUCCCGGGCCUUGUACACACCGCCCGUCACACCAUGGGAGUGGAUUGCACCAGAAGUAGUUAGUCUAACCUUCGGGAGGACGAUUACCACGGUGUGGUUCAUGACUGGGGUGAAGUCGUAACAAGGUAACCGUA
rnacentral:rRNA from 1 species